rnacentral:rRNA from 1 species
GAUGAACGCUGGCGGCGUGCCUAAUACAUGCAAGUCGAGCGCACAGACUAGGAGCUUGCUCCUCUGACGUUAGCGGCGGACGUGUGAGUAACACGUGGAUAACCUACCUAUAAGACUGGGAUAACUUCGGGAAACCGGAGCUAGUACCGUAUUAUCUCUUGAACCGCAUUGUUCAAUGGUGAAAGACGGUUUUGUUGUCACUUAUCGCUGGAUCGGCGACGUAUUAGCUAGUUGGUAAGGUAACGGCUUACCAAGGCAACGAUGCGUAGCCGACCUGAGAGGGUGAUCGGCCACACGGGAACGGGGACACGGGCCGGACUCCUACGGGAGGCAGCAGUGGGGAAUCUUGGGAAAUGGGCGAAAGCCUGACGGGGCAAGGCCGCGGGGGUGAGGAAGGUCUUCGGAUGGUAAGACUCGGUUAUUAGGGAAGAAGAAAUGUGGAAGUAACUAUGCACGUCUUGACGGUACCUAAUCAGAAAGGCACGGCUAACUACGUG